AAAGUCCCAGGAGAUGGUACAGGCCAAGUGCGGAGCAGCGUGUGUCUGUUUGUGAGGUGCUGCCUCACCAAGGGCCCCCCCCAAAAAACAGAGAACCUCCAUCCACGCUUCAGAACCCACCAGUGCAUUUCCUCUGGCCAGGAAUAGCUGAUGAGUAAUACGGAGCAGCAGAGUUGUGAUCUUUCAGCCUGUGAGUCAGAGAAAAUUACUCUGCAGCUGGGAAAGGAGAGGAGCCCCAAAGAGUUUGUCUACACCUAAGCAGUGUUAGUGAAAGUAGGAAAAUCCCUCAAACAAGUAAAUAAAAUACCACAA
rnacentral:lncRNA from 1 species